UGCGAUCUUACCGGCAUUAAUGCACCGGAUCUCAUCAGAACUCCGCAGGCGAAGUACUGCUAGGAUGGGUGACUCUGGGAAGUCCUCGUACUGCA